AACGAACGCUGGCGGCAUGCCUAACACAUGCAAGUCGAACGCGUGUAGCGAUACACGAGUGGCGGACGGGUGAGUAACGCGUGGGAACCUGCCCAAUGGUAGGGAAUAACUGCGGGAAACUGCAGCUAAUACCCUAUGCUCCCUACGGGGGAAAGAUUCAUCGCCAUUGGAGGGGCCCGCGUCGGAUUAGCUAGUUGGCGGGGUAAUGGCCCACCAAGGCUACGAUCCGUAGCNGGUCUGAGAGGAUGAUCAGCCACACUGGGACUGAGAUACGGCCCAGACUCCUACGGGAGGCAGCAGUGGGGAAUAUUGGACAAUGGGGGAAACCCUGAUCCAGCAAUGCCGCGUGAGUGAAGAAGGCCUUAGGGUUGUAAAGCUCUUUCGGCGGGGGACGAUGGUGACGGUACCCGCAGAAGAA
rnacentral:rRNA from 1 species